rnacentral:rRNA from 1 species
CGAAAGUACGCUGGUUGAACUUGGAUUGCGGUCAACACAUCGUCGUGAGACGUGUACUUCAGCGCAUCGUGUUCCAAACAUUCAUCGAUCGCUCGUUGAAGAUCGUCGACGGAGACUUGGUUCACUUUGAGCUCCAGUUUGCGGUCAUUCUUGAGUUGACGCAAUUCCUCAGCCAUCGGCAGGUGAAGAGAAUCGGCAGUAAUGCCAGACACUGGUGUGACAUGCCGUCUUCAUCAACAGAUGCCGCGGCUAAGUCGACGUCGGUUGGCAAUGAGGUAUCAAAGCCUUCAUCUUGAAGGACUUCAAAGGAGUUUGGAGAGAUCGGGAUCGCAUAGACCAGAGCAUGAGGAUCAUCUGCGUCCGGUGCCAGUUCGCAUGGAACGGUUCCCUCCGGCUCGAUAUAUUUUCCACCGUCGCGGUUCAAGAUACCGUCUGCAAGUGCUGAAACAGCUUCUAAUCUGGUUCUUGCACACUAAAUGAUCCCAAGAUCAAGCGUGGGACCUGCGACUCGAUGGUUCUCGACCGUGGUCGAUUCGCUGGGAUUUGCGAAGAAUCAAGCGACGCUGAGAGAUGCGAGGAAUCAAGCGACGAAGAACCAAGCGGUGGCGAGACACCCGGCGAGUCUGGUCGGGAUGGAGACGAGGCAGCGGCGAUCUCCGUGCUACGCAUACUGGCGUCCGAGGCUUCCGAAGCCUUGCGAGGCUGCUGACGAAGCGACGGUCGAUUGAUGCGGUUGUAGCGAUGUAUGCGGUGCUGAACAAAGCAUGGCUUGUCGUCGUCCGUGAAGAAGAUAUCCCGAAGAGGUUCUCCAUUGGACUCAAACAGCUCGGCGGGACAUUGUACUUCAUUGAAGUAGACGGUGCGCGCUCUUGAGACCCUGCGUUGGCAUGAUCAGGGUAGGACGGGCACCACGAUUGACGAACCAGUCGUAAAUCGUGCGGUCCGCGGUGUCGGCUGGGAGACGUUUCAGAUUGCUUGUCGUAGCUGGAGUAACGCCGGAUCGUAACCUUGGUCCCGCAGAUCGUGAGCUCGACGCCACCAAGGCGUUGAAGCGCCUGGUCCGAGGUGCACACGAAGGAAAUACCGCGUGGAGUUGCGUAGAAGUCACGGAGAUGAGGCUUGGCGUCGCGCCAAACCUGGGGUUGGCUGUCGGAAUCCAGUGACGCGAGGACUUCGUCCAGGCUGUGGUCAGCGACCACACGUCCAGCUGGGAUCCACAUUUGCGUGCAUUGUUUCGCCUCUACCGGUGUAGGGAGAGGCGCAAGCGCAGCAAAGCGGCGGUCGAUGUCGGUCGCCUGAUCAUCGUCGAGCCGUUGUAAACUGGCUCUAAACAACGAGUCGUCGGGCAUGAGGCGUGGCGGCGGCGGCUUCCUGCGGGUAGCGGGAUGCGGCGGGGCCUGCCUGGGGGGCGCAUGGUCUCGGGGUGUCGGGGCCAUGGUGGUCGAUGCGGAUGUAGCUAACGAGCUGCGAUGCAAUAGCCUUGUUGGCGGAGGCCUAACCGUGGUGUAUGUCCGAUCUACUCCACGCAGAUCAAGACUUUGCAGUGACUCGCGCCUAGUACGGCCUAGCGUCCCGGUUGGCGAAUCACACUACACAGUAGGAGAGGUAACUCCAGUCAAUACCUUUCGGUAACGACUUAGCGCGCUAGCUCUUGUCUUCCAGCAGGGAUGAGCCCACAGAGAACUGUAGGCGCCUAACUGUCUGGGGACGCGAGCGUAGAGGCAAGGCUGAGGCAACAGCAGCAGGUCGCAGUACUGGCAACGGCGAGGACGGCGAAGGUUGGGCGGCAGCAGCAGUUCCCCGCGAGGAGAGACUGAAGCAGCGGCGGCGGGGUGCUUGGGCGGCGGCAACAGCACUCCGUGAAGAGAGCUGGGCGGCGGCGGUAGCGAGGUCUGCGCGUGCGAAGACGGGGGGUCGAGGUCGAUGUGAGCUCGACAGGGAAAAUUCCGGAAUGGGGAGUUUGGCUGGGGCGGCACAUCUGUUAAAUGAUAACACAGGUGUCCUAAGGUGAGCUCAAUGAGAACAGAAAUCUCAUGUAGAACAAAAGGGUAAAAGCUCACUUGAUUUUGAUUUUCAGUAUGAAUACAAACCGUGAAAGCGUGGCCUAUCGAUCCUUUAGUUCUUUAGAAUUUUAAGCUAGAGGUGUCAGAAAAGUUACCACAGGGAUAACUGGCUUGUGGCAGCCAAGCGUCCAUAGCGACGUUGCUUUUUGAUUCUUCGAUGUCGGCUCUUCCUAUCAUUGCGAAGUAGAACUCGCCAAUUGUUGGAUUGUUCACCCACUAAUAGGGAACGUGAGCUGGGUUUAGACCGUCGUGAGACAGGUUAGUUUUACCCUACUGAUGAGUUCGUUGUCUAAACAGUAAUCCAACCCAGUACGAGAGGAACCGUUGGUUCAGAUAAUUGGUAACUGCGGUUAGCUGAAAAGCUAGUGCCGCCAAGCUACCAUCUGUAGGAUUAUGGCUGAACGCCUCUAAGUCAGAAUCCAUGCUGGAAUAGACGAUAAUCACCUUUUCCGAUGUGCCGCGAAUAGCGAUAGGUGUCUUCUGGACACCCAACAUCAUACAAUUGCAACGCACUCCGCUGNCUGUCAAGUGCUGGCGGUGGAGGGGAGGCUGACUUGUAAUUUCAAAUAUUGGAAAAGAUAAAUCC